UAGUUUAUGUUUGUGCUUUAACCUUAAAAGUCUCGAAACUCACUUAAUGCAUUAUACCACGACAAUAGAAAUUAAAUUACUGCGACCACACUUUACAUUGCAGAAAAAGGGAAUUUGGGAAUGCAUAUAUAUAAAGUGUCUCGAAUGAGAGAGAAAAUGAAUACUGUCAGCACCGUAACGUAAAAACGUUUUUCCCAUAAGAACUGUCUAUAUAUGGUUUCAUGCAUCUAAAAAAAGUCUUUUGCUUACAAUAAGUAUGAGGAUCAAGAUCAGAUGAUUUGAUGAUAACGUGACAAUUGACAGUUCUCUAAUAACCCAACUUUAUUGUUUAUUUAUUUGAUUUCGCUGUUGGAUUAUCUCAUCAUUCUAAAACACGUAAAAUGUCUGUAGCGUGUUAAUAUUGUAAUAAAAUCUGACAGUUUAGUGUUAAUAGACACAUUAGAGAAAUUCAUUUGGAACAAAUUGAACCUGUUUCAUAUGCUAAAGUGUGGUAAUUGUGAUACAUCGUUUCAGCAAGGACCAUUUUUAAUGGAUCAUUUGAAAAAAGUUUUGAAAUUUGAAGAUUAAAUAAUUAAAAAGAUUAAUCAGGUGUUCUGUAAAUUACAAAAUUUUGAUUAUAAUAAUUUGGAUAAUUCUACGCUGGAUAAAUUUCAUUACCAUUUGAAUAUACUUAAGUUUCUUUUCCACAAAAAAGAAAAAACAUCAACAGGUUGUAUCAUUGACUCAGAACGAUUGGAAACUAAGAAGGCGUUGCAAAGUGGGAUCUGCUCUAGUGAUAUCGAGCAAAAGACCAUUCGUAUUGCAAGAUAUAAUUUAUAUAUUAAAGAUGAAUUUAUAUGAUUAAAAAAAGUUUCAUCAAUAUUUGUUUAUUUUUGAUUCAAUUAAGAUACAUAAUUUGUUAGGUACAUUUAUUAUACAUUGUCCAGAAAUAAUAAUUCAGAUUCCACCAGCUUGGAGAACCUGGAAAAGUAAUUAAAAUGGGGAAGAGCAAUGAUCAAUUAAAAAUUGUCCUUGCUGAAAGGAUGUAUAACAAUUAGGUUAUAAGUACUUGAAACCCCACAUUUUUUAAGCAUAUGAAACAGGUUCAAUCUGUUCCAUAUGAAUUUUUCUAAUGUGUCUUGUAUAUAUAUCGUAUAUUGUUAACACAAAAAUUUUUCUAUGAUUUUGUAAUGUUUAGGUUAACGAGAAGUGUCGACUGUCAUAAUUAUUGUAAAUAGUGUCGGGAAAUUAUAAUCUCGUAGAUGAUUACAAAAAAUUAUGUGCCAAGAAUAAUUAACCUCAAAAUUAUGAACUGAUAGGUCAAUCUGAUACCUACAGUAAAUAAUAUAUUGACUUGUGCUUUUUAGUAAAAUCAAUUAAUUUCCAAUUUAUAAUAAUUUAUGUAAAUUAAAACCACAAAUAUUUCCAUAACGAUAUCCGCUAUUUAAUGGAAUGCGAUGUAUUCAAGUUACAUUGCACAAAGUUGGAUCAUUUCAUUUUUUAUGCAUUGAACAAUUAUUUCAUUGUUAUCUACCUACAAUCUGUCUAUUUUUAAAUUGUAAAUAUAAUACUCCACUGUUUAACUUACUACGUAAAUAUACACAGUUUUCUAUUAGUUACAUACAACAAUAAUUAACAAUCUUUUAUAACCAUUGAGUGUAAAAAUAAAUAAACAAAUCAAAUAAUUAAACAUCAUUUGCAAUUUAAUCGACCAAUUUCAUAAUAUCAAUAGUGCUAAUUUCGGAAUGUCCUAGAAAAUUAUACUUCAAUAUCAAUUCUUCGUUAUUCAAACAUAAAUUGGAAUGUAUAGGGUGAUACAAUAAACUCAAAUAUAGUCGUCGCUUUAUUUUCAACACAUAUUUAAAUAUGUUGCAAAAUUUAUUAAACUGAUUCUCACUACUAUAAUUUAUGUUUAGUUUAUUAAUAUUUCAUCAGACGAGUGGAUUAGUUUUUACACUCGUAAAUGGGUCAAGACUAUUACUGACAAAUUGCAAAUAUUAUUUUAAGUUAAUUUCUUGUGUUUCUUUGUAUAUAAUCGGUUUUCAUUAGUUAGUAUGAUACUCACUCUUAAUUUUUAAUAUAUUUAUUCUAAUCUAGUUUACAAAAUCGUCUUAUAUAUAUAUUUUUUUUUUCGUAAAAAAGACUUUACUAAAUUGAAGGUUAGUAUAAACAUUGAAGAGAUAAUGUUUGACAAUAACAGAAAAUAUUAGGCCUUAAAUUAAGAGUUCAUUUUUUUGGCACAUUUACCACAAACAGCAAUAAUGUGUUCUAUACAAAGCCACGAUUUCUAAAAACUUACUGAAAUAUGGUAUUUGUCGUUUUUUACAUCCUUGUUUAUUUGUAGGAGAAUCCUGUGGAGGUUCAACAUUCUUUUGAGUAAAUUUGGCAACCGUUUAUCGAAUAUGUCUUGGCAAAGUUUAAAUAGUUGCCCUUUUUGCAAUGUUUUCUUUUACUAAUUGUAAUAUUAAUUUUUUUGAAAAAAAGAUUCUUCUACUUUGAGAUGCUGGGGCAUUAUUAAUUUUGUGAAUGAUCUAUGCAUUGUUAGCAAUCUAAGAUUCCAUAUAAUAUUACUUUGUCAACAAUAUCACAUUUUGUGAGUUAUACAAAGUAAUAAUUUCAGUUUUUUCAGCAUCACCUGAUUUUUCAUCUAUUACACAUUCUCGAUUGGAAGAAGAACAAUCUUAUUUUUUUUAGGAACAUGAGAUAUCAAAUUGUACACCUGAAACUGCCCAUUUGGUGCACACAGUCAUAAAUUUCUAAGUUUGUAAAGUAUAAACAUGCAGAAGGCACAUCUACCAAGAAAAGCAAGGAACAUUUUGUCUAAUGUAAAAUACUCUCCUACUGAAUAACACUUGCACUUAUCAUUAAAUAUUUGAAAUAUUUUCCUUUCAGGAGCUACAUCAUUGAAAAUUAUUCACAACUUCAUUAAAUAAAUUAGAUACUUAAAAUAUGGGGUGCUAGUUGGCAAAUUUAUAUUUUAUUCAAUAUACAAUAUAUUGUUGCCAAUGUU